ACGGAAGGCAGCAGUGGGGAAUAUUGGACAAUGGGGGAAACCCUGAUCCAGCGACGCCGCGUGAGUGAAGAAGUAUUUCGGUAUGUAAAGCUCUAUCAGCAGGGAAGAUAAUGACGGUACCUGACUAAGAAGCUCCGGCUAAAUACGUGCCAGCAGCCGCGGUAAUACGUAGGUGGCGAGCGUUAUCCGGAAUUACUGGGUGUAAAGGGUGUGUAGGCGGAGAGGCAAGUCAGGCGUGAAAUACGUGGGCUCAACCCACGAACUGCGCUUGAAACUGUUUCCCUUGAGAGUGGGAGAGGUAGACGGAAUUCCUGGUGUAGUAGUGAAAUGCGUAGAUAUCAGGAGGAACACCGGUGGCGAAGGCGGUUUACUGGACCACAACUGACGCUGAGACACGAAAGCGUGGGGAGCAAACAGGAUUAGAUACCCUGGUA
rnacentral:rRNA from 1 species